GGGACCUGACUGCUAUCGGAUUGAUACUAAGCCAUGCGAGUCAUUGUAGCAAUACAAGGCAUACGGCUCAGUAACGCGUAGUCAACCUAACCUAUGGACGGGAAUAACCUCGGGAAACUGAGAAUAAUGCCCGAUAGAACAUUAUGCCUGGAAUGGUUUAUGUUCCAAAUGAUUUAUCGCCGUAGGAUGGGACUGCGGCCUAUCAGUUUGUUGGUGAGGUAAUGGCCCACCAAGACUAUUACAGGUACGGGCUCUGAGAGGAGUAGCCCGGAGAUGGGUACUGAGACACGGACCCAGGCCCUAUGGGGCGCAGCAGGCGAGAAAACUUUGCAAUGUGCGAAAGCACGACAAGGUUAAUCCGAGUGGUUUCUGCUAAAGAAACCUUUUGUCAGUCCUAGAAACACUGAUGAAUAAGGGGUGGGCAAGUUCUGGUGUCAGCG
rnacentral:rRNA from 1 species